UGUUUAAAGGUAGAUUUUCAUAGCGAAGUUUGGAAAUAUAACCCCCGAGUAGCGUUUUUGGUUUCGAGUUAAAAUUUUUAUGUUUUCAAUGCCCCUGGGGGUGUGUCUGAAUCGUUGUAUCUGGGGCUACCGAAGUCGCCGUGUGGUUUCACUAAGUUAAACUGUUUAACCUAAGGUUAGUAGUCUGGGGAUUAAUGAAUCUAUUCAUACUAAUGAAUAUAUUCAAGAGAAGACUUAAGCGCGAGAAACAGACACGCUUCCCGUCCAUACGUUGCAUCUGCAAAGGAGUGCAAUAACCCCAGAUCAACCCAGAAUUGGAAUUGCAUGACGGAGGGCAGUUGAGUGCGAAAAUGGACCCUGCAGCUGCCAUCUUAUGAACACAGCCAUCUGCUAUCUAAAGUCCAGUUUAACAAUGGCAUACAGAUUGGGAUUGGAAUGAGGGUACUUCUCCCCGUCCUGAAUGUCCUUAGCAGACAACUUGAUUACUGUCAUGGAAACAUGUUCUGUGCAUUAUAAUGCAUUCUCUGCAGUCUUCAGGCACUUUCACACCAACAAUCUGGAACAUGGUUCCUGGUUACAAGUUCCUGGGCUGUCUCAGCCAGUGACUUUUUAUCGCUCCUGGCCACUUUCAUUUGUUGCUUUCACAUUGCACAACAGGAACUGGAACCUUCAUGCUAAAUAAGCAUGGGAGACGCAAAAAGCUCUUAGGUUACCCUUCACCAGUGUUGGGCAUUUCAGGUCCAGAAACUACAAAUCCAGACAAAGAUUUUGUUUCUACCAACCAGGUGAGUACUCUGUGACUGUGAUUAUGCUUAGCCAGUUGGUAGAAACAAAAUCUUGGUCUGCAUUUGUAGUUUUUGGACAUGAAAUGCCCAACACUUUCACACAUAUAAUUCAAAAUUACACCACGCCACCCCAAAACAAUUGAGGAUAAACAAGUUGUUUUGUUAGUCGAUCAAACGGGACACAGCUUUUUAUUUAUACUCAUUCGUUCAUUUUCAGUAUUAUGGAGUUCCAUGUGAUUGAUCAUUUGGUUUCACAAAAUAAAACUUGAUGCAAAGUGUUCCGCUAAUAAGCACUGGCAAGUUUCACUCCUGGCACAAAAGUAUAUUGGUUAUCGGUCAGAUUUUUUGAUUCAGAAAUAUAGACGCAAGUGAAAAAAUGUAUUCAUGAAAUAUAUUUGAGGUACAAAAAUGAUUCCAUCUGCGCCAUUUCAGCUCUACUAAUUAUCUCUUUUCUCCACACUUCUGGGUGCUUGCAGUCAACAAGCUAUCACUGUAAGAGCUUCCCUAGUAUUCAUGUUCAGAAGAAAAGUACCUAGUCUGGAGUAGGUACUCUGCCUCUGAGGAACUACAAUCGGGUCGAAUUCCUGCGGUAUGAACACAACAAAAGUCCCUGGUUCUGGAAAAAUGUUCUGGUUCCCUAAAAAGAUCCUGCAGUGUGAAAGCACCCCUUUAUGACUAUCUGCAGAGCUUUCACACUGUGUGGUGGUUCCUGUUGCGAUGCUCUUUGAAACCUAUGUAGAUCUGGAUAAGGGCUUGGCAGUUCAGUCCAACCUUUUUCAGCAGUUUUAUAAAAUGCAGGCACUGCUGAGCUCUCUUAACAGUGGCCAGUGGUAUUUCAUGAACAGCACAGAUUAUUAGACAUGUGUAGUCCUAGGAACUUGGAACUUUUUACCUGUUCCAACUCAGUGCCUAUGAUAUAGAGUGGCUGCAGUGGAGGGGUUUAUUUCCUGAAUUCCUGACACUUCGUCAGGGUCUUUCUUGUUCCUUCCCCUUUUGGCCAGCAGGCGUCGCUGGCCAUCCUGUCUCUCCUGGUACCCUUUGUGUUUUCCCCUGCUCCCUGUCAGCCGCAUGGUUCAACGUUCACACGGCUGCCUGUGAACUCCUCUGUCUUGUGUUCAAAUCCUGCCUCCUCUGUUUUUGUAUUCUGUUUCUAGUGUUUCAUUUGUUUAGUCCUUGUUCAGUUCAGUUUUGGUUUCUUUGCUUUGUGCCUUAGUUGUGUUUUGCCGGUCUUUGUUAUUCCCAGUGUUAGAUUCUGUUUUCCUUGUUUCUUUGUCAGUUCUUAGUGUCCCUGUUUAAUUCCUUGAGUUAAUUAUUAGUGUCACCUUUUGCCUGUUUUACUAGUCCUUCUUAAUUGUUUUCACCUGUCCUGUGUUAUCCUUGUUAGACUGUUGUAUUUAACUUCCUGAUCCCAUUCUGUUACUCCUUGAGGCAUUAAUGUUGCUGGAGUGUUUGAUGCUGUGUUUGUAUGCUGUGUUCUUCGUUACCUGCCUGCCCCUUGUUGCUCUGACCCAUUUUGCAAUUAGUCUUUGUUUAUCCCCAUUUACUUUUGACCCCUUGUGGUUCUUUUAUUUUGUUUAUUUUGUCCUAGUGUUUUCUGUUUUCAUUAAUAAACCCCUUCUGUUCCCGUGAGCCGCAAGUGGGUCGUCCACAUUCCCUUCCUGCCUGCAUCGUGCCUCGUCCUCGCGCCCAAACCGCCCGAGUCCGUGACACUCUUUUGUCUUUUCGAGGUUCGGGAGGAGAAUCCUUCUCUUCUCCAUAUACAAUGAGGUCACUCACCUGUUUCACAUCUCAUUGCUGUUAAUAAGUCCAAGUAUGGUUCUGUGGUCUGCAUUUUAAAAAUGAGGUUCUGUUUUUGAGUGUAUGAGCAGUCAUAUGUGUGGAGGGAGAAGAGUUAUGGACUGAGACUGCAGCCGUAAGGGGGACCAGUGCUUAUUGUGCAUUAAGCAGUCACUUCGUUGCCCGACCUCACCACCUGUGGUAUGCCAAUUAGAAAGUCCAAUAUGCAAGACCUGCCAGUUUCACCACCAGCUUAGUGAGCUAGAUGGUAAUGAAUACUGAGCUGUAGACCAGGAAUAUGCAUUUCUAUUGUCCAGAUGCUCUAGGGCAGAGUAGAACACAAGAGCUACCACACCAUCUACUGACCUGUUCGGCAAUAGAUGAACUGUAGGAGAUCACUGGUGUGUGGCAUUAUGGAGUCAAUGAAUUUUAAAACCCUUUUCUCCAGGCAUUUCCUGGCAACUGAUAUGAGUGCCAUAGGGCAGAAGUCAUUUAGUGAAGCUGUGUUAGUCUUUUUGGGGACUGGAACAAUGACAGAAUAUUUGAAAUUGUAUGGAAUGACUGCCUGGGUCAGUGAGAUAGUGAAGAUGCCUGUGUAUACACCUAGCAGUUGCACAGUAGAUUAGAUUUCAGUACUCUUCAUGACACUGCAUCAGGUCCCAUUGUUUUACAAGGAUUACCUUUCUGGGGAGGAAUAGGAAAAGGAACAUGGCUGUGUAGUCGUGCAUUUAAGUCUUUUGGGAAAUGUGACAAUUAGAUUUUGUCGACAUCACGUAUAUUGUACGAUCAACCCAUAUUGAAAAAUAAAAUAUCGUGUCGGGUUUUGAACCAAUAUGGGAUAUCUUUUGUGUCCUGAUUGAAGUUUGCAGUUUGAAUUAGUCCCCCCCCCAACAAAUUUUAUUGUUGUGGGCCUGGGGAGAAUAAAUUUGAAAUGGGAGAAUUAUUAUGCGUUGCUAUAAAGAUAUGGGCUCAGAGAUGUAUACAUAUUGCUUGCCAUGCACAGUAUUAGAUGACCAUAAUGUCUAAUUUCCACCAUUGAAUUGGUUGACACAUUGGAAAAGGCCAGGUCUAGCAGAAUAAGACCAAGUUGGAUUGGGAGACAUACUAUGCAUUAUUACAAAGAUUCUUCACCGUAAAACCCAUAGUGUUAGGUCAUGUCACUCUUUUGGCUUUGCAGUCACAUUUUCUUGAGGCAAGAACAUAAAUAAUCAAAGCAUUACAUUUAAUUAAAUUGAAAACUACUUUGAGAGAUUGAAAUAGCAAAUUGAGUACAAAAAAAGUUAAUUGUAUUCUUGAGAAUGUUAAACUGAAUUGUGUACUAGUGUUGUAGUUCUCGAGA